CGAUACUGAGAAAAUACUGGACCAGUAUCGCCCAUAUCGAUACCAAUACUGAUACUUUUUUGACAAAUAAUGCAUUAUCAAAUAUAAGUACAUUUUCAUGACUUUCAUGUGUUUCGUGUUUUGUUCUAAAUUGUAUUAUUAAUUUAAUAAAACCCAGACAACGUUCAACAGUAAAUAUAAAUAUGAAUGAAUGAAUAAAGAUGAAUUGGUGGUGUUGCCAACUGUAUUUAACGGCCUUUUGCAGAUUGUAUAGGUUGCCAUUGUUUCAUUUUCGGCUUAAAAACAUAGCCACACACUGCUACUCUUUCUUGCUGCCAUCCUUCGUCUGUGUCCUCGUCCUGGUGUGUGUUCCAGAAAGCGGGUUAUUAUUAUUUGGGGAGUUUCAUCGAUGGCACCCACAUUCCUAAUAAAGCUCCAUCAGCCAAUGGGGAAGACUAUGUUAAGAGGAAGUCAUUUCACAAUAUCAAUGUGCAGGACGCUACAAUGGCUUCUUGCUGGGGGACAAAGGGUGCCCUGUUUGAUGACACCCUACCCUGAACCUGAGCCUGGACCACAGAUACGGUUCAACCGGGCCCACAGCAGAACACGGCCAAGGUGGAGA